rnacentral:rRNA from 1 species
AGUGAACGCUGGCGGUAGGCCUAACACAUGCAAGUCGAACGGCAGCACAGUAAGAGCUUGCUCUUACGGGUGGCGAGUGGCGGACGGGUGAGGAAUACAUCGGAAUCUACUUUUUCGUGGGGGAUAACGUAGGGAAACUUACGCUAAUACCGCAUACGACCUACGGGUGAAAGCAGGGGAUCUUCGGACCUUGCGCGAUUGAAUGAGCCGAUGUCGGAUUAGCUAGUUGGCGGGGUAAAGGCCCACCAAGGCGACGAUCCGUAGCUGGUCUGAGAGGAUGAAUCAGCCAAACUGAACUGAGACACGGUCCAGACUCCUACGGGAGGCAGCAGUGGGGAAUAUUGGACAAUGGGCGCAAGCCUGAUCCAGCCAUACCGCGUGGGUGAAGAAGGCCUUCGGGUUGUAAAGCCCUUUUGUUGGGAAAGAAAAGCAGCAGGUUAAUACCCCGCUGUUCUGACGGUACCCAAAGAAUAAGCACCGGCUAACUUCGUG